AAACAAGAUGAUUCUCAAAUUAUUACUCUGUGUACAUGGCCUGAUUGCGGUGGCAAGACGGAAAAUUAUACAUUGUUAGCAAAGUUUGGGGAGAAUGAUUGUGAAAGAAUCACUUGGCUUAUGAAGCUCUUCACACGAUAUUCCAAAAAAGUUGGCGCAGUGGCGAAUCAUCUCAAAAGCAAACAG